AGUCCUGCAUUCUCUCUCAGGGAGUCCAGAACUCUGCUGCUCACCAAGCUGGAAGGAAGAAGUGGAACCUGGAACAGGAUUCUUCCUGGUGAGAGUUGAGAAGGGCAGCCCCUCCUGACUGAGAACUCAGGCUGUGACUCUGGCUCCCACUCCCAGAGCUUCUGAGAAGAUGGCUUGACAGCCUGUUUGGAGUUCCUGUGCUAUCGACCAGGUACGGGCAGAGUAAAUACUUUAAGGAAGAUCUCCUUUCCAGGCAUCCUCUUGGCCUCUAAACAGUGAUUCUUUUCACUUCUUUAUGACUUGACCAACUCCAGGUUCCCAGUCGCCAGUAUGCAUAGGAGCCCAUCACGGGGAAACGCGAUAAUUUGUUGACCUGCCUGUGGGAUUCUCCUCAUGCCGUCUGUAGCAAUUAUAUUUGGCUUCUUCAUUUGUCUAUAUUCCAUAUCUGAUUCACAAACAAAUUUUGACUCAACCUUGAAAAACAUAUCUAAAACCUAUUCCUUCUUGAAAGAAAAACCCGUUUCUUCUAUAACUGGAAUGCCAGAGUGGUUUGCUUCCUGUCACAGAUUCCAACGAGACGGGAAUUUAAUCUUUAAAGUUGUGUUUUAUGGGGUUCAAGAGGAGACUCAGCUGCUAAGAGCACCUGCUGGGUUUGCUAAGGACUGGAAUUAGUUCUCAGCACCCUCAUUGGGUGGCUCACAACUACCUAUAACUAUGGUUCCAGGGCUCUGACUCCUUCUUCUGGUCUCCAUGGAUAUUGCAUAUGUGGGCACAGAACCCUCCACCCCCUCCCCACAUAUACAUACACAUAAAUUUUUAAAAAUGCUUUAAAACUGUACUAAUUAUUUAGAGAGCUGACAAUCUGAGAAGAUAGUGGAUCAACACCCUAUUCUGUAUCUCAGUAUCAGAGAAGCCCUGGGACAGGAAGGAAGAGUUAGGAAGUACAGACUUAGGCAAGACAUUUCUAGGAGGGUCAUCUGAGUCUAAGAAGAGUGAUGACCUAGGCUCAGUUCAGUCCUGCAGCAAACGCCAAAUACGAUUCAGCAGCUGCAGUCCCAUCCUGAAGAAUCCGCAAGGCUCACCAACCUGCCCGUGGCCGCUGAAGCGGGGGAACCUCAUGAACUGUUCUUCGGCAGCGGUGUGUUGGCCCCUUCGCAUGAUGAAACUGAGGAGCCAGGGAAUUAGGAGCUGAACUCCACUGAGGUGUUCAGAAGUCUGUGCACGCCGCCUCCCUGGAAAGCACCCAGCACUCCCUGCUGUUCCCAGAUCCUGUUGUCUCCUUAUCAAUCCCUGAGGCCAGCAGGACAAACCGAGGUAUGGUAUUAUAAAUGCGGGCUCGAGGUCACUGAGGGUCACAGAGUCCACAGCAAAGGGGAAUCAGAAACCACAAUGGUCUGCCCUACUCUCACACUGCAAAUGCUCAUGACUACGUAAGCACAGGAAGAGUUCAAGGAUCGUCCCUACAGAGAUCCUCCCUCAUCAGCUCAUCUGUCUGACCCUCUGUGCCCCUGGACAUUAUCAGCUGGGAGUGUGGAAGAUUCUAGAGAAGGCGCCAUCCCUCAGUGGUGUUUCCACAGUUCAAUAAACAACUGAUUCUUCCACUAUUGCCAUGGCCAUCUCCACUUCUUAACUCCAUGCCUACUUUCUCCCUUAAGAAAACAAAUAGGCAAGUAAAAGACAAACAAGGAAGGAUAAGCAGCAGAGAAACUAAGAAGGAGCAUGAGACACGCACGCACUUCCUUGUCUGGGCGCUGGGACUCUGGCUCGAACCUGUACAGGUUCUCCAGGACUUUUAUCACGAAGAGAUGCUGGAUUUUAUCAAAGACACAAAGGGGAAUGGUCCAGAUCCACAAGCUUGUCAAAAACAACAGAGGUAUAAGGUCAUAGAAUUCAUGUCCACCUUGCAGUCUGCUUCUCACCCACUGCCCUUUGGAAAGCCAAUUCCUUCCUCCUGUUCACGUGCUGUUGGUACUCUAUGUUCUGCCUGCCUUCCAAGAGUUCAUAGAGUUUGUUCACAGAGUGUUUACCCUGUGUUGUCUCAGCUGCUGAGAAAUGGUGUCUUCUGCACCAGGGGCCGAAACACCACCUUUGUAGUACUUUUCUUCUCAGCUCUGAGUUUUGUGGAGAUCAGACUUCCUUCCUGAUCCUCAUUUGCCUUUCAACAAGAAGCCUUCACUCAUUUAUUGAUCCACUUACUUUGUACAGACAGUUGUUCAUCAGAGCAUGUUAGGAACCAGGCCCAAGACCCCGACAGACACUAGAAUCUGAGGAACCUCAAGUUUCUUAUACAAAAUGACACAGUAUUUGCAUAUAAUCUAUGCAUAUCCCCUUGGGCACCUUAAUUUUUACUUUUUGGCUUUUUUUAUUGGGUAUUUAUUUCAUUUACAUUUCCAAUGCUAUCCCAAAAGUCCCCCACACGCUCCCUACCCACUGCCCCCCCUCCCACUUCUUGGCCCUGUCGUUCCCCUGUACUGAGGCAUAUAAAGUUUGCACGACUAAUGGGCCUCUCUUUCCACUGAUGGCCGACUAGACCAUUUUCUGAUUCAUAUGCAGCUAGAGACACGAGCUCCAGGGGGGUACUGGUUAGUUCAUAUUGCUGUUCCACCUAUAGGAUUGUAGAUCCCUUUAGCUCCUUGGGUAUUUUCUCUAGCUCCUCCAUUGGGGGCACUUUUUGGCUUUUUGAAUACAGACUUGCAAUGUAGCUCAGGCUGGCCUUGAACUCUUCAUCCUCUGGCUCAGCUUCCUAAGUACUGGUGUGAAUAACCAGUGUGAAUCAUUAUACCUAACCUUCCUCCUGUGUAAUAAAUAAAGUUUACAUUAUUUAUCAUACCUAAUACCAUGUAAAUGGUAGAUAAACAAUCUUGGUGAUAUAUUGAUUAGGGGCUAAUGACAAGAAAAAAAGUUUGAACUUGUUAAAUAAAGAUGCAGUUAAACU
rnacentral:lncRNA from 1 species